rnacentral:rRNA from 1 species
CAGCAGCCGCGGUAAUACGUAGGUGGCGAGCGUUGUCCGGAUUUACUGGGUGUAAAGGGCGUGUAGGCGGGUUUUUAAGUCCGGUGUGAAAUCCCACGGCUCAACCGUGGAAUUGCACUAGAAACUGGAAAUCUUGAGUGCUGGAGAGGAAAGCGGAAUUCCUAGUGUAGCGGUGAAAUGCGUAGAUAUUAGGAGGAACACCAGUGGCGAAGGCGGCUUUCUGGACAGUAACUGACGCUGAGGCGCGAAAGCGUGGGGAGCAAACAGGAUUAGAUACCCUGGUAGUCCACGCCGUAAACGAUGGAUACUAGGUGUGGGAGGUAUCGACCCCUUCCGUGCCGGAGUUAACACAAUAAGUAUCCCACCUGGGGAGUACGGCCGCAAGGCUGAAACUCAAAGGAAUUGACGGGGGCCCGCACAAGCAGUGGAGUAUGUGGUUUAAUUCGACGCAACGCGAAGAACCUUACCAGGACUUGACAUCGUGUGCAUAGUGUAGAGAUACAUGAAGUCUUCGGACACACAGACAGGAGGUGCAUGGCC